CAUCUUAGUACCCGGAGGAAGAGAAAGAAAAUUCGAUUCCCUUAGUAGCGGCGAGCGAAACGGGAAGAGCCCAAACCAAAAAGCUUGCUUGUUGGGGUUGUAGGACACUCUAUACGGAGUUACAAAGGACGACAUUAGACGAAUCAUCUGGAAAGAUGAAUCAAAGAAGGUAAUAAUCCUGUAGUCGAAAAUGUUGUCUCUCUUGAGUGGAUCCUGAGUACGACGGAGCACGUGAAAUUCCGUCGGAAUCUGGGAGGACCAUCUCCUAAGGCUAAAUACUCUCUAGUGACCGAUAGUGAACCAGUACCGUGAGGGAAAGGUGAAAAGCACCCCGGAAGGGGAGUGAAAUAGAACCUGAAACCGUGUGCUUACAAGUAGUCAGAGCCCGUUAAUGGGUGAUGGCGUGCCUUUUGUAGAAUGAACCGGCGAGUUACGAUUUGAUGCAAGGUUAAGCAGUAAAUGUGGAGCCGUAGCGAAAGCGAGUCUGAAUAGGGCGUUUAGUAUUUGGUCGUAGACCCGAAACCAGGUGAUCUACCCUUGGUCAGGUUGAAGUUCAGGUAACACUGAAUGGAGGACCGAACCGACUUACGUUGAAAAGUGAGCGGAUGAACUGAGGGUAGCGGAGAAAUUCCAAUCGAACCUGGAGAUAGCUGGUUCUCUCCGAAAUAGCUUUAGGGCUAGCCUCAAGUGAUGAUUAUUGGAGGUAGAGCACUGUUUGGACGAGGGGCCCCUCUCGGGUUACCGAAUUCAGACAAACUCCGAAUGCCAAUUAAUUUAACUUGGGAGUCAGAACAUGGGUGAUAAGGUCCGUGUUCGAAAGGGAAACAGCCCAGACCACCAGCUAAGGUCCCAAAAUAUAUGUUAAGUGGAAAAGGAUGUGGCGUUGCCCAGACAACUAGGAUGUUGGCUUAGAAGCAGCCAUCAUUUAAAGAGUGCGUAAUAGCUCACUAGUCGAGUGACACUGCGCCGAAAAUGUACCGGGGCUAAACAUAUUACCGAAGCUGUGGAUUGUCCUUUGGACAAUGGUAGGAGAGCGUUCUAAGGGCGUUGAAGCAUGAUCGUAAGGACAUGUGGAGCGCUUAGAAGUGAGAAUGCCGGUGUGAGUAGCGAAAGACGGGUGAGAAUCCCGUCCACCGAUUGACUAAGGUUUCCAGAGGAAGGCUCGUCCGCUCUGGGUUAGUCGGGUCCUAAGCUGAGGCCGACAGGCGUAGGCGAUGGAUAACAGGUUGAUAUUCCUGUACCACCUAUAAUCGUUUUAAUCGAUGGGGGGACGCAGUAGGAUAGGCGAAGCGUGCGAUUGGAUUGCACGUCUAAGCAGUAAGGCUGAGUAUUAGGCAAAUCCGGUACUCGUUAAGGCU
rnacentral:rRNA from 1 species